AUCCUUCAUCUUCUUUACCAUCCUUCAUUUUCUUUACCAUCACAACACCUCACCUUCAACCUUUUAUUUCUUCAAUCCUUCACCCUUUCUUUCUUCUUACAAUUGGGAUUUUCUGAUUCAAUUUUUUUUAUCUAUCUCUCGUUCAUCCUCUCUUUUUCUUGUGUUCCUCGAUUAAUCUUUAUCAAGAUUCUAUGUGAAUCUUCUUAAACCUUCAGGAACAAGAUUGAAAAUUUACGGUCGCGGCGAAAGCUUCUAUCAACGAAAAUUCUUUUAGUUUGGCGUGGCCGAAAACACCGUCGACGGCAACGUGGAUCUGUUCUUCUUCGAUUUGACACUGUUGAAAGAGGAUUUGUGAGUGAGGGACAAUUUGUCACUGUAUUUUUGUUUGUGGUUGUUCCAUCCAAUUUUUUGUUGACACUCUUUCAAUUUUUUUAUUGUUGUUGUUCCAAUUUGGGUUAGAGUUCUCCAAUUUUUUGUUGUUGCUGUUCCAAUUUGUCACUGUCUUCUUUGUUGUUGUUUGUUUGUUGUUAUUGAUUGUUGAGAGAGAGAUAUUUGCUGGUUGAGUUAUUGACUGGGAUGAAAUUUGUUGAGAGAGAUUUGUCACUGCCUUUUGAGUUAUUUGCAGGGAUGAAAUUUGUUGUUGUUAUUGACUAAUGAGAGAGAGAUUUGCUGGUUGUUUGUUGUUUGUUUUUGAAGAAGAAGAAAGAAUGGAUAGAGGGUUGCUGGUUUUUUUUGUCGAAGAAAAAAGGAGGAUGAGAUAGUGGUGUUGGAUGGCGGCGAUAAGAGGAGGAGAGAUGCCGGAGAGAGGGGACGACGAGAGGAUGAAAAAAAGGAAACACAUCUCCUAAAUAUUAGAAUUAAAAUUAACAAAAACAAUUUCUGAUUAUUUUAUUUUAUUUUAUAAAUAUUUAAAUCAUCUUAAAUGCCACGCGUACGAUU
rnacentral:lncRNA from 1 species